CAGUCGCCACGGUAAUACGAAGGGUGCAAGCGUUACUCGGAAUUACUGGGCGUAAAGCGUGCGUAGGUGGUGGUUUAAGUCCGUUGUGAAAGCCCUGGGCUCAACCUGGGAAUUGCAGUGGAUACUGGGUCACUAGAGUGUGGUAGAGGAUAGUGGAAUUUCCGGUGUAGCAGUGAAAUGCGUAGAGAUCGGAAGGAACAUCUGUGGCGAAGGCGACUAUCUGGGCCAACACUGACACUGAGGCACGAAAGCGUGGGGAGCAAACAGGAUUAGAUACCCCAGUAGUCCCUGUCUCUUAUAA
rnacentral:rRNA from 1 species